rnacentral:rRNA from 1 species
AACGAGACCUUAACCUGCUAAAUAGCCAGGUUGACUUUUGUCGGCCGCCGGCUUCUUAGAGGGACUUUUGGCUCAAGCCAAUGGAAGUACGAGGCAAUAACAGGUUGACCUUUGGGUUACAACAGAACUCAUCACAGGCCUGUCACAGUGAACCUCGUUAAAUAAAUCACUAGUUGAGUGUCUUUAUCCCUUUGGUAGAAGUCUGCCAACUGUCGGGAAGGGAACAGCC